rnacentral:rRNA from 1 species
GACGAACGCUGGCGGCGUGCCUAAUACAUGCAAGUCGAGCGGAUUUCGUUGAAAGCUUGCUUUCAACGGGGUUAGCGGCGGACGGGUGAGUAACACGUAGGCAACCUGCCUUCAAGGCUGGGAUAACAUCCGGAAACGGAUGCUAAUACCGGAUACACCAUUUGGCUGCAUGGCGAAAUGGGGAAAGGCGGAGCAAUCUGCCACUUGGAGAUGGGCCUGCGGCGCAUUAGCUAGUUGGUGGGGUAACGGCUCACCAAGGCGACGAUGCGUAGCCGACCUGAGAGGGUGAUCGGCCACACUGGGACUGAGACACGGCCCAGACACCUACGGGUGGCUG